rnacentral:rRNA from 1 species
AUUGAACGCUGGCGGCAGGCUUAACACAUGCAAGUCGAGCGGGGUGAUGGUGCUUGCACUAUCACUUAGCGGCGGACGGGUGGGUAAUGCUUAGGAAUCUGCCUAUUAGUGGGGGACAACAUCUCGAAAGGGAUGCUAAUACCGCAUACGUCCUACGGGAGAAAGCAGGGGAGCACCUGUGACCUUGCGCUAAUAGAUGGGCCUAAGUCGGAUUAGCUAGUUGGUGGGGUAAAGGCCUACCAAGGCGACGAUCUGUAGCGGGUCUGAGAGGAUGAUCCGCCACACUGGGACUGAGACAAGGCCCAGACUCCUACGGGAGGCAGCAGUGGGGAAUAUUGGACAAUGGGGGGAACCCUGAUCCAGCCAUGCCGCGUGUGUGAAGAAGGCCUUAUGGUUGUAAAGCACUUUAAGCGAGGAGGAGGCUCUUUUGGUUAAUACCCAAGAUGAGUGGACGUUACUCGCAGAAUAAGCACCGGCUAACUCUGUGCCAGCCGCCGCCGUAA